UACAGAGGUCUCAAGCGUUGUUCGGAUUCAUUGGGCGUAAAGGGUGCGUAGGUGGCGUCGUAAGUCAGGUGUGAAAUCUCGGGGCUUAACUCCGAAACUGCAUUUGAUACUGCGGUGCUUGAGGACUGGAGAGGAGACUGGAAUUUACGGUGUAGCAGUGAAAUGCGUAGAGAUCGUAAGGAGGACCAGUGGCGAAGGCGGGUCUCUGGACAGUUCCUGACACUGAGGCACGAAGGCCAGGGGAGCAAACGGG
rnacentral:rRNA from 1 species